GCGUGCAGAGCGGAUUGGCUUCUUCACAGGCUUCAUGGAUUUCAGCUCAUCAGCUUCCCAAGCUGAAUAUACGGGUUCGAUUCCCGUCGCCCGCUCCA
rnacentral:tRNA from 1 species